ACUCCUACGGGAGGCAGCAGUGGGGAAUUUUGCGCAAUGGGGGAAACCCUGACGCAGCAACGCCGCGUGAGUGAUGAAGGCCUUUGGGUCGUAAAGCUCUGUCAGUGGGAACGAAGUGUAGGGGGUUAAUAGCCUUUCUAUUUGACGGUACCCACAAAGGAAGCACCGGCUAACUCCGUGCCAGCAGCCGCGGUAAUACGGGGGGUGCAAGCGUUGUUCGGAUUUAUUGGGCGUAAAGCGCGUGUAGGCGGUUUUAUAAGUCUGAUGUGAAAGCCCUGGGCUCAACCCGGGAAGUGCAUUGGAUACUGUAAGACUUGAAUACGGGAGAGGGCAGUGGAAUUCCUAGUGUAGGAGUGAAAUCCGUAGAUAUUAGGAGGAACACCGGUGGCGAAGGCGGCUGCCUGGACCGAUAUUGACGCUGAGACGCGAAAGCGUGGGUAGCAAACAGGAUUAGAUACCCUGGUAGUCCACGCCGUAAACGAUGAGAACUAGGUGUCGCGGGUA
rnacentral:rRNA from 1 species